UACGUAGGGUGCAAGCGUUGUCCGGAAUUAUUGGGCGUAAAGAGCUCGUAGGCGGUUUGUCGCGUCUGCUGUGAAAACUCGGGGCUCAGCUCCGAGCUUGCAGUGGGUACGGGGCAGACUAGAGUGCGGUAGGGGAGACUGGAAUUCCUGGUGUAGCGGUGGAAUGCGCAGAUAUCAGGAGGAACACCGGUGGCGAAGGCGGGUCUCUGGGCAGUAACUGACGCUGAGGAGCGAAAGCGUGGGUAGCGAACAGG
rnacentral:rRNA from 1 species